rnacentral:rRNA from 1 species
UACGGGGGGGGCAAGCGUUGUUCGGAAUUACUGGGCGUAAAGGGCUCGUAGGCGGCCAACUAAGUCAGACGUGAAAUCCCUCGGCUUAACCGGGGAACUGCGUCUGAUACUGGAUGGCUUGAGUGUGGGAGAGGGAUGCGGAAUUCCAGGUGUAGCGGUGAAAUGCGUAGAGAUCAGGAGGAACACCCGUGGCGAAGGCGGCCCUCUGGCUCGACCCUGACGCUGAGGCGCGAAAGCGUGGGGAGCGAACGGG